rnacentral:misc_RNA from 1 species
ACGAGCGACAUUCAUCCCGCCAACAGCCAGUGCCUCAAUCUGCUCGGCCGCACACGUCGCAGGGCCAAUCGUGCAGAUCAGCUUCGUCCUCCGGGUGCUCCGGAACCCGUUCUCCUUCAUCUCCGCCUCCGUGACGGCGUCCACGUCGAUCGAGGCCGUCGCGAGGCUGGCGCCGUUGUCGGACGCGAGGAGGGAGGGAGCAUCCAACGACGCGCGGCAGAUCUGGAGGCGGAGGCGGCGGUGGGGGAGGCGGAGGAGGGGGGUGACCCGGAGGUUGGGGGAGAGGGAGGGGGAGGGGAUCUUGGAGAGGGGGCUGGCGGGGGCCCUGGGGGCGAGGAGCUGGAGAGACUGAGACAUCGCCGGAACCCUAGGCGGCGGAGGAGAUCGACGGCGGCGAAUGCAAGGGUUUGGAGAGGGAGUGA